UACGUAGGGUGCGAGCGUUAAUCGGAAUUACUGGGCGUAAAGCGUGCGCAGGCGGUUUUGUAAGCCAGAUGUGAAAUCCCCGGGCUUAACCUGGGAAUGGCAUUUGGGACUGCAAGGCUGGAGUUUGGCAGAGGAGACUGGAAUUCCUGGUGUAGCAGUGAAAUGCGCAGAGAUGUGGAGGAACACCGAUGGCGAAGGCAGCCCCCUGGGUCAAGAUUGACGCUCAUGCACGAAAGCGUGGGGAGCAAACAGG
rnacentral:rRNA from 1 species